rnacentral:rRNA from 1 species
GUCGAGCGGAUGAAGGGAGCUUGCUCCUGGAUUCAGCGGCGGACGGGUGAGUAAUGCCUAGGAAUCUGCCUGGUAGUGGGGGAUAACGUCCGGAAACGGGCGCUAAUACCGCAUACGUCCUGAGGGAGAAAGUGGGGGAUCUUCGGGCCUCACGCUAUCAGAUGAGCCUAGGUCGGAUUAGCUAGUUGGUGGGGUAAAGGCCUACCAAGGCGACGAUCCGUAACUGGUCUGAGAGGAUGAUCAGUCACACUGGAACUGAGACACGGUCCAGACUCCUACGGGAGGCAGCAGUGGGGAAUAUUGGACAAUGGGCGAAAGCCUGAUCCAGCCAUGCCGCGUGUGUGAAGAAGGUCUUCGGAUUGUAAAGCACUUUAAGUUGGGAGGAAGGGCAGUAAGUUAAUACCUUGCUGUUUUGACGUUACCAACAGAAUAAGCACCGGCUAACUUCGUGCCAGCAGCCGCGGUAAUACGAAGGGUGCAAGCGUUAAUCGGAAUUACUGGGCGUAAAGCGCGCGUAGGUGGUUCAGCAAGUUGGAUGUGAAAUCCCCGGGCUCAACCUGGGAACUGCAUCCAAAACUACUGAGCUAGAGUACGGUAGAGGGUGGUGGAAUUUCCUGUGUAGCGGUGAAAUGCGUAGAUAUAGGAAGGAACACCAGUGGCGAAGGCGACCACCUGGACUGAUACUGACACUGAGGUGCGAAAGCGUGGGGAGCAAACAGGAUUAGAUACCCUGGUAGUCCACGCCGUAAACGAUGUCGACUAGCCGUUGGGAUCCUUGAGAUCUUAGUGGCGCAGCUAACGCGAUAAGUCGACCGCCUGGGGAGUACGGCCGCAAGGUUAAAACUCAAAUGAAUUGACGGGGGCCCGCACAAGCGGUGGAGCAUGUGG